rnacentral:rRNA from 1 species
UACGGAGGGUGCGAGCGUUGUCCGGAAUCACUGGGCGUAAAGGGCGCGUAGGCGGCCUGAUAAGUAGGGGGUGAAAUCCUGCGGCUUAACCGCAGGGCUGCCUUCUAAACUGUCAGGCUCGAGCACAGUAGAGGCAGGUGGAAUUCCCGGUGUAGCGGUGGAAUGCGUAGAGAUCGGGAGGAACACCAGUGGCGAAGGCGGCGAUCUGGGAAGAUACUGACGCUGAGGUGCGAAAGCGUGGGGAGCAAACAGG